rnacentral:rRNA from 1 species
AUUGAACGCUGGCGGCAGGCCUAACACAUGCAAGUCGAGCGAGCGGCGGACGGGGGGGUAAUGUUGGGGGACUGCCCGAUAGAGGGGGAAAACAACGGGAAACGGAGGCUAAUACCGCAUACAAUCGGAUAACCCAUAUGGGAUUAGCUAGUAGGUGAGGUAAUGGCUCACCUAGGCGACGAUCCCUAGCUGGUCUGAGAGGAUGAUCAGCCACACUGGGACUGAGACACGGCCCAGACUCCUACGGAGGCAGCAGUGGGGAAUAUUGCACAAUGGGCGCAAGCCUGAUGCAGCCAUGCCGCGUGUAUGAAGAAGGCCCUAGGGUUGUAAAGUACUUUCAGUCGGGAGGCGUUACCGACAGAAGAAGCACCGGCUAACUCCGUGCCAGCAGCCGCGGUAAUUC